rnacentral:lncRNA from 1 species
UUUCAGGACUGAUAAUUUGAAACACCCAACAUUAUGAGAAAAAUUGCAAUAAUCCUUAUCAUUGUGGUUGUUGCUGGUAAGUACAAACUCGCCUAGUUAAAAACAGAGGCUGGCUCUUUCCCCUGCAACAUACGUGUAUCUAAUUCAUCGUCGGAACCAAAUAGAUAAAGGAAAGAGGACCAGUCUAAUACAUUAUACAGUAUUAUUGCUAUUUCAUUAAAUUUUCCUUUGAUUUUACAGACUGUGAUAUGAAAAAUUAUCGCCAGAAACUAAGGGAACACGUGCGUUGUCAAUGCAAUUAACAACGUCUUCAUAGGUAAAUAGCGAUUAAGAGAUCAACUCGAUUGCUUUUCUCACCGUACCGGCUCAAGCGAGAAAAUCAAUGUCGUUGAGAUGACCAAUGAUAAUCUAAAAGUAUUUCUGUUUAUUUUUAUUUUUUUCAAACGUUGGAAGUAACUAUGUUGAUCAUUGUGAUAAUACAAAAAUCAAAUCGUACAUUUUGUUUUAUGCUUUAUUGAGAAUCAUAGCGCAUAACUUAAGGUAUCUUGUAAUCACACAAUUACAUUUACCCCUUGAACUUGUUGAUUGAUUGAUUGAUUUGUGUAUAAAGCCACUUACAGCACCAUUGACUAUCGUGGCGGUCAGUUUUUACAGGUGACAGAAGCCGGAGUGUCCGCAUAGAACCAUCAACAUUCUGUACAGGAAAACUGACAAUUAAAUUGAUAUACAUUAUAAGAUUAUUAUUUUAUAUAGUAGAUUUUAAACAAUGCGUAUCCAUGAUUAAAAAGGUAGGUUCUAUCAAUUCAUGAAAUGUAGAUAGGUUGUUAGUUACUUACUUUGCAAACUGUUUUUUGAAAAUUGGAUAAAAGAGUUGAAAAAAGAAAGUAUGAGACACCGGAGACGUUAAAUAAAACCAUUAAGUAAUUGGAAAGACCUCCAAUAAUAAUCAAAUAAUUAUUGUUUCAUUUCAGUUGUGCAAGGAACAGGUCCUUGGGGUCCUCCGGGUCCUCCGGACGCACCAAAAGUAUGUUCUAGCGAGCACUGUAGUGGGACUGGUAACUUUAAGCGUUGCGGUUGUGGAUGUCAUAAUUGUUGUGUUAAAGAAUAUGGGUGUAGGGGAGGAGUUUGCCGUCGUUUUUCUCCUACGCCCAGAAGUUGUUACUGUUACACAUGUCGUAAGUUUAUAGAAAAUAGAACAAAAUUGUUAUAAAAUGUGAACGCUUUUUUCAAAUCAAUUAAUUCAUUCUUCCCGAUGAUAUGUUUAGUUGAUUCAAACAGUUAAUUUUCAAAGACUCUCGGCCUUUAUAUUGUUUCAGAUUUUUAAGAGGCCUUGCAUGUGAUUUCAGUUUUUUUUUUGGUUCCCUUAUUUGAACCUUGCAUGAAUAUUUUUAACUUUUUAAUAGCAUCUGUUGUUUAUUCGUUCUUUUCAAAUUCUAUAUUUGCUAUUAGUACAUUGUGAAUAUCUGCAAUAAAACAGGCAAAGAAAUCUAAAAAAAAAUACAGUGAUAAUUUGUUCAACAAUUAAGGUGCCAAUAAAGAAGCACAACUUUCUUGUAUUUAACCAACACAUUCAGUUCUUAAUAUUGUCCAGGUUUUUUACGAGAGGAGCAGUGAAACUGUCCGGGUAUGUAAACAAACGGUCCGGGUUUUUUUUUUAUAAAAUUUUGAAUAACAAAAAAGGUUUUCUUGACCUUAUAAAAAAAAUUUAUAACUUAAUUAAGUGAAUGAAAAUGUCAUAUAUUCCCAAUAAAAUCACAAACACAUAUGUAAAAGUUAUACACGGAGGGAUAGGUGUGCCUGGAUAUGAAACCCCGACGGCCGGAGUCCUGAGGCGUAUCUCAUCGAGACACACCGUAUUCCAAAACACUUUACAUUUUUUGUUUAUAUUCACGAAAACAUCUGAUCGAAUCACUCAGAAAACCACAAUCCCUGCCGGAACCUAUACAUACCAUGCAUAUUAUUUAGAAGGUAUUUGUCAAUCUAAUGAAAAUAUAGAUGUCUGAUUUUGUUAUCCCCAUAUUAUUUAUACGAGGACACCAGUUAAGAUAGAUCUGAAUUUAAAUCAGAUUGGAUAUUUUGAUGGAUAUCUUGGUAGAAAAUUUCGCAUAAAUACGUCAAAUAAUUCGACCGUAAUACUCAAUGCGCAUGUGCAAGAUCGAUCGUGAUUUUGCGUUAUCGACUAAUAAGAUACGAGAUUUGAUAAACUGGGGGCAUUAUUGAUUUAUCAGAUCGGCAUCGUUAUUACUGUUGUCAGAUUAAUGCAUACUUUAUUUUCACAUGCUAUGGCAAACGAAAAUAUAUACAACAUAUGACAAACAAAAGGCAGCAGAUAACAGAAGUUACAGAGUAUUCAAUAAUAUUAUGACAUUAUAUGUGAUCUAACUUUCCAAGCGGCUGCAUUUGAAUAAAUGCAUAGUUUUACUGUCAUAGAUUUAGAAUAAAUUAUCUAACUUGUGCCGAUUUGGCCAAGAAUAGUAGAAUAAAUAUAAAAUUCUAUACGCACAGAUCUAUACGUUGGACAUGACAAAACAAAAUGAUAUUCGUCCUCCAAAACAUUCGUAUUGCAACAUAUACAAAUUCUAUUUUCUCUUUGAGUAUUCAGAUAACGACCAACUUUAACAUUUAAUCUAAGUGUGCAGCUACGCAAUUUUGUUAAUAUAGAUACAUUACAAUGAAAAUCUAAGUAUCUUUCAAAACCAAAUACUACUUUAUAUCGUUUAUAAAUACAAAGUUUGUUACAUUCUUCUAAAGCUGAAGAUUCCACUGACAUAUUAAAACAGACUAUUUUGACCGUUGUGUUAAUUAAUCUUAAUUACAAAAGGAACGGUUUGAUAUAUGUCACCUGACUUUGAGUGUUACCUUCACGCAAAAAUGGACAGAUUCAUGCUGUGAUGUUCACUUAGCAGAUCGUCUGUAUAUUCAAGAAGGUACGGGUGCUAUUUCAUUACCAUAUCUGAGGAACUGAUCUUAGGUCAUAAAAAUAAAAGUCAAUCAACACAUAGGCCAUAUGGUAUCAUAAAGUUUUACCUUAAACUAUUAAUCUCACCAGGCGACAGUUAGAGACAAUUAAUAUACCCUUAAUAAUCGUAAUCAUGCUCUGACAGUUAGGUACCAUUAAAAUAUAUGUUCAAAAUGCUAGCCCUGUUUGCAUGCGUGUAUUUACAUAAUUUUUUUGUGCUUAAUUCAAAUGCAUCGGAUAUUGACAAUUUUUGAAAGGAGUGGGAUCUGAGUCGUUCAGCAUUUUAUUUUGAUAUAUUGUGAAGCAUACAUAAUAUUGUAUACCGAAUAUCUAGUUAAUUUCAAUGAGAUUUAUUAAGAUCUUAAACUGAAAAAAAAAAUCUUUAUAUUUUUUUGUUGUAUCUUCAGAAAGUAAAUUUUCACAUAUUUAUAUAUAUAGUUUGGCAUUUGAUUACAUACUUUUAAUGAAUUGUUCUGUCGUAUAUUUAUUUUUGUGUCAGAAAAUUCACGUUAGUAGGUAGAAAAAUGAUACUAAAUGUGAUUUUUUUUCUGUUAUACUACAAUUACUAUAUAAAAAAGACCCCCCCCUAGACAAAAAGAAAACAAGUAUUGUCGUCUUGUCGAAAGCAAGGAGGUUUUUAAGAUUUAUGAGUGAAAUAGCUGCCUACUUGGAUCUUUUGACUAACAUCCUUCUUUUUGACAAGUUUCGCGAAAGCGAUACUUAGCGAUGCUAGGUUCCGUCGUCAGCAUUCACGCCGACUAAUUCAGCAUUUAGGUUCAGUCUGUAGUUAAAGUUUUGUUUCACAUCAAAAUCGUUGUCAAACAUAAUGGAAUGUCGGGAAAUUGGGAGCUUCUUUAUGUCCACAAUACAGUAUCCAGCAUGUUUCUGGAAAUUAUUCUCAAUCGACAAAAAGUUAUAUUUCUUCACAUAAACUUCUUCAAAGUUCUUAACAGCUUCCAGGGACUUGAAGGACAUCGUUUCUUCUUGAUCAAACAUUUCGUUUUGGCUAUUUGCAAUCAGUAAUUUCAAAUUCUCCCUUAAUUUUUAAACACUAUGUCCCGAAAUUUUUCAAAAUAUUAUUUAUUUUACUUUAUUACACAUAAAAAUAAACUAACAAAAAACAGAUGACACUCAACGACUUCACAGGUAAACGGGAAAGCGGCAGGCGUCCUAAUAUACGCCUAUUAAACACCGAAUAUUGAUGUGCACCAUAUAUGACUUUGCCCCCAGUUCAUACAAAUCUCGCAUAUUCUCGCAUGAAUUUUAAUUAAACGCUUGACCCACUCAGAAUUCUAGGUCGCGAACAAGCUUUCCCUGAACUAGAGUAUUGACUGCAUUACUUUUUCCAUAACAAAUGGAAAUGUAAUAUAAAAAAAAGGCUAAGGGGACUCAAAUAUGCGUUCAAGCAACUGUUGCAAGUCCCCGUUGCACGAACGUUUCUUAUUUACAUUUAUUUUCCCCAAAAUUGCAAAGACAAAAAGUAGGUCAAAUAGAAAGCUCAUUUAUAAUCUGUCUGAUUUUCAACUGAAUUAUUAUCAUAAUACGGAAUGAAUAGGUUCACAUAUUUUGGAUAGGCUUUUAGACAAAAUGAAAAGAAUAAAGAGUAAUUCUUUUAAUAAGAAAAAAAUUACCUCAUACAACGCAAAACUAUGUUUAUUUGUGUGAUGGUAUACUACCAGUCAAGGUUGUUUCAAAUUCAAAUUCAUCCAUCCGACUGUGUGUGUAGGUCUUUCACAGUUAUCAGUUAUAAAUUAGAUGUAAAUUAACGUAGAGAGCAGUGAAAUACAUUUUGAUAACAGGGGCCGACGAAUGUUUUAACGAAUAAUAUCAAUUAUUUACGUCGGGCAGAUGUAUGGACCGCUUUCAGUCUUUGUUGUUUUUGUUUUAAACUUUCUAAAUGAUUUCCGGAAACGUUUAACUCAGAAUUAUUUUUUGAGCUUCUUUGUAUACCCCAUGACAAAAUGACGAGGGGCAUAUUAAUUUACCCCUGUCCGCUCCACCGUCCGGAUAAGUAUACAUGUUGUACGUGGUUUGUCUGGUUAUCUCCUCCUACAGUUUUUGAGCAUUAACUUUAAUAUUGUGUAGGGUAUUUCUAAUUUCAAUAGAGGUUUGCAUGUCCAAGGGAUUUCAAUUUUGUUUUAGAUAUUCUCAAGAUACCAAGCAUUCAGACUUAGUAAUUUAUUUGGUUCUAGCUGCAUAAAGAGAUCAUGUUUUCUGCGGCUAUUAUAAAUGUGGAUGUUAUAUAAUAUAUUCACAAAAACUGGUAGUUGAACCUUUAUAAUUGAUUUUGUUGGAAUUUUUAAGCAAACAUUUUUAACUUAUUUUUAUUUGUACGGGUUCAAUGUCUCCUUUAUUUUACCAUGCCCAUUUAUUUAAAUUUUAUUGUUGAUCAGUAAAUUUAAUAGUAUAGUUUUAUAUGCCAUUUAUUUUAAAUAUGUGUGUUUUGGGAUCUCAUAACAUGAGCUUUCAUAUUUUAUUGUAAAUACUUAUAUAUGUGUGUGAAUAUGUUGUGAAGCGCUUAGGGUAAUUUUUGAUUUUAUAUAAUGCGCUGUUAUAAAUACUGUAUAAUAAUAAUACUAUUAAUAAUAUUUCCUUCUCACUUUCUAUUUAUUUAAAUUGAUCAUGGUUUUUUUGUACACCUACAGUUUAAUGUCCCUAAUGCAAUAAAUAAGAUGUUUUAUUAUUGUCAAAAUAUUUAAUCAAUAACGUGAAGUUGAACUUGAUGACCACUGGAAUUAGAAACUUGAACUUGGUGACUACAAAAAACUAAAACGUUUAUUCCUUUUAACUGGACAUUUAGUCAUCAUUCAUAAUGUUAAAUUUAAAAAUUUCUUAUGGUCAGGCUGGGUCAUCCUUUGUGUCUUUCAGACAGCGCAACAGUUUCAAGUUGUACUUCAACAUCAUCGUUUGCCAAAUCAAAAAUAUGUGGAACUAUACUCAUGCACAUGUUAGAGUAGAGCAUCGUCCAUAUCUUGGUUUUUAUAUAUAAAAAAAACAUCGUUUUCUCCCAUUUUUCGCUUGUAUGUUUAACAAAUAAAAAAAAUCAAAUGGAACAGGACCUAUUCAUUUGAACCGCUCCUCCUUCCCAUAAAACGAACCAAAUGGUUUUAAAUCUUAUUAUUCUUUAUAUAUUGACAGUUGUGAUGAGGGUAAUUUUUAUGACCAAACUUGAAAAUGAAUAUUUAGAUUCGAUCAUUUACUCACUGACAUUCACAUCUCAGUUUCAAAAACCAUUAAUGUGAACUUAUUCUUGGAGAAACAAAUAUCAGCACUUUCUUGCGGUAAAACAGGUAUCACUCGGUUGUACAUUUGUUAACAUGUUCAAGACUCAGAGGUACCUAGAUUAUUAUGAGUUUUAUAGAUAUACAAAUUAUGAGUUUUAUAGAUAUACAAAUUAUAAGAUUUAUAGAUAUACAAAUUAUGAGUUUUAUAGAUAUACAAAUUAUGAGUUUUAUAGAUAUACAAAAACUUUAUUUUGAUUUGGCAUAGCAUAAAACACACCAACAAGCGUUUCGUCGAAUAUUAACACGAAUAGAAAACAAAUAAAACAAAGCAUCAAGAUAUGAUAGAAAUAAAUAAAGGCAACAGUAGUAUACCACUGUUCAAUAGUCAUACAUCGAUUUAACUGAAACAAAUCCGGGUCAUAUUUAUAAUCCGAAGGAGUAGGUCACUAUAUCAAGCUUCAUGAGUUGUGAUAAUGUAGAUAAUUGAUUUCAAACAUAUGUAUAUGACAAGACAAGGUUGAUUGAAUCUCAGUAUAUCAAACUAAUCAAUUGCCGAUUUUUAGUCGUUUAAACCGCAAUAUGUUCUAGACAUUUGUCAAGUCUAUCAUUCCUGCAUGACAUAUCGUAAUCAUGAUAGCUAUAGGUAUAUUUUUGUAAAAAAAUAUACGAUAAAACAUAUAAGAUGGGGUAUGUAAUUUUUUAGUCCAAAAUAUAUGAAAAGAGUGGGUGUCUGAGCUGCUCACCCCUACCAAAUGAUUGGUGCCUCCUCGAGAUUUUUCUUAAAACGCAACGUUUAAUAAUCUUUCCCGCAGUAAGCCGAUUGAAGGAAAAAAAUGAUUUGAAACUUUUGCUCAUUUUACUUUAAAAAUAAUCACUAUGUAGAUGCAAUAGUAUUUGCACAUCUCAUUUCUAUGGAGAUUAUUCAACUCUGCCUCCUUUGUCAUCGUCUAUUAACUUUAAAACUUUUAUUUUACAUGUAUAAGUUUGUGUUUUGGCCGGUUUAAAGGGAGCCACUGUUAGGGAGCAAAUGAUAUUUGUUAUGUACAAUCAUUAUUAUUGGCACAUCUCAUUUCUAUAUUGACUUUAUUGUUUAGCAUAGUUUACCAAACUGAACAAAGAAAUAACACAACGGGUGCCGUAUACGGUGCAGGAAAUGCUUACCCUUCCGGAGAACCUGAUUUCACUCCCGGUUUUUAGUGGAGUUCGUGUGUUUCUUAAUAAUUAUUUAUAACUGUUGAUGUAAAUGUCCUUUGGUUUUGUGAGUCUUUGUUUACUCCUUGGUUUUGAUUGUUAUUGUCUUACAUGCAAGUAUGGUAUAAGAUCAGUUAAAAAGGUACCGUUAAUGUUAAGCAAAUGAUAUUUGGUAUUCAAUUGAAUUGGCAGUUUUUUUAUGAUGAUCAUAUGGCAACGCCCCUCACCAUUAUUCACUGAUUUUGAAACUUUAACAUUCUUUACAAAUUAAAUUUGUGUAAAGGUUAUUGUAAAUAGAACCACUUAUUAAUAGUCAAUGGCAUUUGGUAUGCAGUUUCAUAACCAUUGAACUUUCUCAUUUUUAUUAAGUUCUGUACAAUACAUCAUGAUUUAUUUACUUUGAAUGCUUUGCAUUUUUACAUGUUUGAAUAUUUUCAUUGGGGUUCAAUAUCUGCAUUAUACUAUCAAAAUUUCAAUAAAGCGAGACAUAACUCUGUGUCAACAGAGAUUACGUAAACAGUUGUAAUGGUAAAAAAACAAGGUAUAGCAAUAUUAUAUUACAGCAGAUCAUUACCAACAGUUAGAAAGUAAUAUUCAUAGUGCAGUAUUGCAAAUCUAGCAUCGAAUUAUUGCCGUCAACAUUAAAAAAAAAAGUACGUUUAAAACAGUUUUCAAGCUUUGCUUUUAAAGAAAAAAGUAGCAUUGCAUUAAUACUGGUAAAUCAAAUAUUAUACAUUGUUUCUCGUGGAAUAUAAAAAAUAUAUUCACCAUUAUUCAUGAAAUAACCCUAUAGUAAAAGUUCUAUGUAUGCCAAAAGGCACUCGAUGCAGGUAACUUAAUUUAAUAUAAGACGUAUAUAAAAUGAAUUAAGUCCGCUUUGUUCUUUUGUUUUACAUUUAUAACGAGUCCAUAACGUAUUAUCGACAAUUCUUAAUCGAACACUUUAUCUGCUGAAUAGUUUUCGGGAUUGUUGUCGAAGUUUAUCUAUCGCAAACUUAAUAAACAGUCGACAAAGAAUUAUGGACCAUUUGAAAAAUAAGAGAGUUGGUAGAGCGAUGAAAUCUUUUUUUUUUAAUAUUUUAAUUGCGUUUCCAUUUGUUAAUUAAAUUUUGAUAUAACAGUUCUUAAAUGUGUGAGCAUAUCAAUUUUAUCCAAUCAGAAUCAGUUACCGCUUUAAAACUUCCAGUGCACGUUUUUUUUUUAUUAUAUAUUUUCCCUCAUAGUUGCGCUUUGUGUUUGCCAAAGUUCUAACGAGAGGUCUCGCUAUGAAGGUUCAUCAUAACAACUUAACAAACAUUGUUGAGUUUUCAAUUAAAACUCUACUGAGUUCAUAAAAACCUAUGCAGUUGGAAAAGUUUAUAAGGCUAGCUUUCACAAGAUAUAGGAAAGUUAAAUGCAUUUUGUGUGUCAGAAAGAUAUAAUCCAUACUCGAUUUAAAGUGUUGUAUUUUUUUUAAAUCUUUUUCAGAAAAUUUACCAGGCGCCGCUUCCAAAAAGAGCAAGAUAAACAAAGAUUCAACCCAGGGUUAAAGAUGACACUAUUUGAUUACAAA